GCUUCGGGGCGAGGUGAAAUUCCUCACCGGCGGUAUAGUCCGCGAGCCGUGUAAAAACGGUUGAUUUGGUGAAAUUCCAAAACCGACGGUAUAGUCCGGAUGGAAGUAG
rnacentral:ncRNA from 1 species